rnacentral:rRNA from 1 species
UACAGAGGUCCCAAGCGUUGUUCGGAUUCACUGGGCGUAAAGGGUGCGUAGGUGGUGAGGUAAGUCGGAUGUGAAAUCUCCGAGCUCAACUCGGAAAUGGCAUUGGAAACUACCUUGCUCGAGGGUUGGAGGGGGGACUGGAAUGCUUGGUGUAGCAGUGAAAUGCGUAGAUAUCGGAAGGAACACCGGUGGCGAAGGCGGCUACCUGGACAGAUACUGACGCUGAGGCGCGAGAGCGUGGGGAGCAAACAGG